ACUCCUACGGGAGGCAGCAGUAAGGAAUAUUGCGCAAUGGGCGAAAGCCUGACNCAGCGACGCCGCGUGGGGGAUGAAGGUCUUCGGAUUGUAAACCCCUUUCGGGAGGGAAGAUGGAGCGAGCAAUCGUUCGGACGGUACCUCCAGAAGCAGCCACGGCCAACUUCGUGCCAGCAGCCGCGUUAAUACGAAGGUGGCAAGCGUUGUUCGGAUUCACUGGGCGUACAGGGUGUGUAGGCGGUUUGGUAAGCCUUCUGUUAAAGCUUCGGGCCCAACCCGGAAAGCGCAGAGGGUACUGCCAGGCUAGAGGGUGGGAGAGGAGCGCGGAAUUCCCG
rnacentral:rRNA from 1 species